rnacentral:rRNA from 1 species
UACGUAGGUGGCAAGCGUUGUCCGGAUUUACUGGGUGUAAAGGGCGUGCAGCCGGGCUGACAAGUCAGAUGUGAAAUCCGGGGGCUCAACCCCCGAACUGCAUUUGAAACUGUUGGUCUUGAGUAUCGGAGAGGCAGGCGGAAUUCCUAGUGUAGCGGUGAAAUGCGUAGAUAUUAGGAGGAACACCAGUGGCGAAGGCGGCCUGCUGGACGACAACUGACGGUGAGGCGCGAAAGCGUGGGGAGCAAACAGG